rnacentral:snRNA from 1 species
GGCGAGAGACCGAUAGCGA